CUUAUACAUGCAAGUCGCGCGAUUAAGCCCCUUCGGGGGUGUAUAAAGCGGCCAACGGGUGAGUAACAGGUGGAUAAUCUGCCUCCCGGCGGGGGAUAACGGCUGGAAACGGCCGCUAAUACCGCGUACGGUUCCGGGCGCCUCGGCGCCUGGAAAGAAAGAAGCCUUCAAGCUUCACCGGGAGAUGAGUCCGNCCCCCAUUAGCUAGUUGGCGGGAUAACAGCCCACCAAGGCAACGAUGGGUAGCCGGCCUGAGAGGGUGAUCGGCCACACUGGGACUGAGAUACGGCCCAGACACCUACGGGUGGCAGCAGUAGGGAAUAUUGCACAAUGGGCGAAAGCCUGAUGCAGCCAUGCCGCGUGGGGGAUGAAGGCCUUCGGGUCGAAAACCCCUUUUCUGAGGGACGAAAAUGCCGGGAAGGAAAUGCCCCGGCCUUGACGGUACCUCAGGAAUAAGCAACGGCUAACUCCGUGCCAGCAGCCGCGGUAAUACGGAGGUUGCGAGCGUUGUUCGGAUUUACUGGGCGUAAAGGGAGCGCAGGCGGCCAGUGUGAGUCUGAAGUGGAAGCCCGGGGCUUAACCCCGGAAGUGCUUCGGCAUACUGCUUGGAUUGAAGUACGCGAGAGGAGAGCGGAA
rnacentral:rRNA from 1 species